AGUAACACGUGGGUAACCUGCCCAUAAGACUGGAAUAACUCCGGGAAACCGGGGCUAAUACCGGAUAACAUUUUGAACCGCAUGGUUCUAAAUUGAAAGGCGGUUUCUGCUGUCACUUAUGGAUGGACCCGCGUCGCAUUAACUAGUUGGUGAGGUAACGGCUCACCAAGGGAACGAUGCGUAGCCGACCUGAGAGGGUGAUCGGCCACACUGGGACUGAGACACGGCCCAAACUCCUACGGGAGGCAGCAGUAGGGAAUCUUCCGCAAUGGACGAAAGUCUGACGGAGCAACGCCGCGUGAGUGAUGAAGGCUUUCGGGUCGUAAAACUCUGUUGUUAGGGAAGAACAAGUGCUAGUUGAAUAAGCUGGCACCUUGACGGUACCUAACCAGAAAGCCACGGCUAACUACGUGCCAGCAGCCGCGGUAAUACGUAGGUGGCAAGCGUUAUCCGGAAUUAUUGGGCGUAAAGCGCGCGCAGGUGGUUUCUUAAGUCUGAUGUGAAAGCCCACGGCUCAACCGUGG
rnacentral:rRNA from 1 species